rnacentral:rRNA from 1 species
UACGUAGGGUCCAAGCGUUAUCCGGAAUUACUGGGCGUAAAGAGUUGCGUAGCUGGCAUAGUAAGCGAAUAGUGAAAUGACGGGGCUCAACCCCGUGCCCAUUAUUUGAACUGCUGAGCUAGAGAAUGAGAGAGGUCACUGGAAUUCCCUGUGUAGGAGUGAAAUCCGUAGAUAUAGGGAGGAACACCGAUGGCGUAGGCAGGUGACUGGCUCAUUUCUGACACUAAGGCACGAAAGCGUGGGGAGCGAAACGG